rnacentral:rRNA from 1 species
GGGUUGUGAGGUUAAGCGACUAAGCGUACACGGUGGAUGCCCUGGCAGUCAGAGGCGAUGAAGGACGUGCUAAUCUGCGAUAAGCGUCGGUAAGGUGAUAUGAACCGUUAUAACCGGCGAUUUCCGAAUGGGGAAACCCAGUGUGAUUCGUCACACUAUCAUUAACUGAAUCCAUAGGUUAAUGAGGCGAACCGGGGGAACUGAAACAUCUAAGUACCCCGAGGAAAAGAAAUCAACCGAGAUUCCCCCAGUAGCGGCGAGCGAACGGGGAGCAGCCCAGAGCCUGAAUCAGUAUGUGUGUUAGUGGAAGCGUCUGGAAAGGCGCGCGAUACAGGGUGACAGCCCCGUACACAAAAAUGCACAUGCUGUGAGCUCGAUGAGUAGGGCGGGACACGUGGUAUCCUGUCUGAAUAUGGGGGGACCAUCCUCCAAGGCUAAAUACUCCUGACUGACCGAUAGUGAACCAGUACCGUGAGGGAAAGGCGAAAAGAACCCCGGCGAGGGGAGUGAAAAAGAACCUGAAACCGUGUACGUACAAGCAGUGGGAGCACGCUUAGGCGUGUGACUGCGUACCUUUUGUAUAAUGGGUCAGCGACUUAUAUUCUGUAGCAAGGUUAACCGAAUAGGGGAGCCGAAGGGAAACCGAGUCUUAACUGGGCGUUAAGUUGCAGGGUAUAGACCCGAAACCCGGUGAUCUAGCCAUGGGCAGGUUGAAGGUUGGGUAACACUAACUGGAGGACCGAACCGACUAAUGUUGAAAAAUUAGCGGAUGACUUGUGGCUGGGGGUGAAAGGCCAAUCAAACCGGGAGAUAGCUGGUUCUCCCCGAAAGCUAUUUAGGUAGCGCCUCGUGAAUUCAUCUCCGGGGGUAGAGCACUGUUUCGGCAAGGGGGUCAUCCCGACUUACCAACCCGAUGCAAACUGCGAAUACCGGAGAAUGUUAUCACGGGAGACACACGGCGGGUGCUAACGUCCGUCGUGAAGAGGGAAACAACCCAGACCGCCAGCUAAGGUCCCAAAGUCAUGGUUAAGUGGGAAACGAUGUGGGAAGGCCCAGACAGCCAGGAUGUUGGCUUAGAAGCAGCCAUCAUUUAAAGAAAGCGUAAUAGCUCACUGGUCGAGUCGGCCUGCGCGGAAGAUGUAACGGGGCUAAACCAUGCACCGAAGCUGCGGCAGCGACGCUUAUGCGUUGUUGGGUAGGGGAGCGUUCUGUAAGCCUGUGAAGGUGUGCUGUGAGGCAUGCUGGAGGUAUCAGAAGUGCGAAUGCUGACAUAAGUAACGAUAAAGCGGGUGAAAAGCCCGCUCGCCGGAAGACCAAGGGUUCCUGUCCAACGUUAAUCGGGGCAGGGUGAGUCGACCCCUAAGGCGAGGCCGAAAGGCGUAGUCGAUGGGAAACAGGUUAAUAUUCCUGUACUUGGUGUUACUGCGAAGGGGGGACGGAGAAGGCUAUGUUGGCCGGGCGACGGUUGUCCCGGUUUAAGCGUGUAGGCUGGUUUUCCAGGCAAAUCCGGAAAAUCAAGGCUGAGGCGUGAUGACGAGGCACUACGGUGCUGAAGCAACAAAUGCCCUGCUUCCAGGAAAAGCCUCUAAGCAUCAGGUAACAUCAAAUCGUACCCCAAACCGACACAGGUGGUCAGGUAGAGAAUACCAAGGCGCUUGAGAGAACUCGGGUGAAGGAACUAGGCAAAAUGGUGCCGUAACUUCGGGAGAAGGCACGCUGAUAUGUAGGUGAAGUCCCUCGCGGAUGGAGCUGAAAUCAGUCGAAGAUACCAGCUGGCUGCAACUGUUUAUUAAAAACACAGCACUGUGCAAACACGAAAGUGGACGUAUACGGUGUGACGCCUGCCCGGUGCCGGAAGGUUAAUUGAUGGGGUCAGCGCAAGCGAAGCUCUUGAUCGAAGCCCCGGUAAACGGCGGCCGUAACUAUAACGGUCCUAAGGUAGCGAAAUUCCUUGUCGGGUAAGUUCCGACCUGCACGAAUGGCGUAAUGAUGGCCAGGCUGUCUCCACCCGAGACUCAGUGAAAUUGAACUCGCUGUGAAGAUGCAGUGUACCCGCGGCAAGACGGAAAGACCCCGUGAACCUUUACUAUAGCUUGACACUGAACAUUGAGCCUUGAUGUGUAGGAUAGGUGGGAGGCUUUGAAGUGUGGACGCCAGUCUGCAUGGAGCCGACCUUGAAAUACCACCCUUUAAUGUUUGAUGUUCUAACGUUGACCCGUAAUCCGGGUUGCGGACAGUGUCUGGUGGGUAGUUUGACUGGGGCGGUCUCCUCCUAAAGAGUAACGGAGGAGCACGAAGGUUGGCUAAUCCUGGUCGGACAUCAGGAGGUUAGUGCAAUGGCAUAAGCCAGCUUGACUGCGAGCGUGACGGCGCGAGCAGGUGCGAAAGCAGGUCAUAGUGAUCCGGUGGUUCUGAAUGGAAGGGCCAUCGCUCAACGGAUAAAAGGUACUCCGGGGAUAACAGGCUGAUACCGCCCAAGAGUUCAUAUCGACGGCGGUGUUUGGCACCUCGAUGUCGGCUCAUCACAUCCUGGGGCUGAAGUAGGUCCCAAGGGUAUGGCUGUUCGCCAUUUAAAGUGGUACGCGAGCUGGGUUUAGAACGUCGUGAGACAGUUCGGUCCCUAUCUGCCGUGGGCGCUGGAGAACUGAGGGGGGCUGCUCCUAGUACGAGAGGACCGGAGUGGACGCAUCACUGGUGUUCGGGUUGUCAUGCCAAUGGCACUGCCCGGUAGCUAAAUGCGGAAGAGAUAAGUGCUGAAAGCAUCUAAGCACGAAACUUGCCCCGAGAUGAGUUCUCCCUGACUCCUUGAGAGUCCUGAAGGAACGUUGAAGACGACGACGUUGAUAGGCCGGGUGUGUAAGCGCAGCGAUGCGUUGAGCUAACCGGUACUAAUGAACCGUGAGGCUUAACCUUACAACGCCGAAGGUGUUU